CUGCUCAAAGGGUUUGCUGCGGUUCCAUCUCACUGACGGUCAAGUGGUUCGAGAGUAAUUGAGAGUUGUUGUCGGCGAUUAAGAGAAAGUAACAAAUGGGUUUGUAGUGGUUCAGUUACUGCUGUCUGAGAUGGGGAUCUGAAGAAGGAGAAGAAGAACUGAGAUUCAAAGUUUACAAGUGGUGGAAAUAAGAUGGGUUUCAACUGAAUUUAAUGGUGGUGUUGUUUCAGUUCAACUGAGCUGAAAUGGAGAUGGAACGGGUUUGUUCAUCAGUGGGGCUGCUGUUGAUAUUGAAAAUGUUUUGAUUUUGAAGAAAGAAUGAUGAAUUUGUGCAUACAGGGUGUUUGUAAUUACGCCUGACAGAAUAAUGAUUAAGAUGGAAUUGCAGGUGGAAUGGCUAGUCUGUGGUUCAAUGAUGCUGCAGAAAAUAGUGGUGAUGGACUGAUGAAGCAGGGAUGGUUGAUGGCGGGGAUAUCAAAUGAAGAGCAGGGUUUGCAAGAAGCUACAACAGUUGGAGUUUGUAGGAAGAAUUGUGUUUGCUGCCAUGGAUUUUACAAGGGUUUUAUGGCUUGAGUAUCUGGUAGGUUUGGUUGAUGGCCGGAAUAUCAAACUAAGAGCAUUAAGAAGAACAGUUGGGUACUGAAGGUGAUUAUGGUGGUGCUCAACUGUCUUGGUUUUAAGGGUUUACUGAGAUUGGAGGAGUGGCAGUAGAGAUGGUUAUGAAACUUAGUUCGAAUUGAAGAAUGUUGCAGCUGCUUGACUAUGGAGUUGAGUUCUGUGUUGCGGCUAGUAUUGAGGUUAAUGUGAUGCUGCUUCCAGGAUCAAAGGUGAACUGAAAUGGUGCUCUAGCUCGUGGUGGUUCUGCUGUGAUGGAGUUGGUGGCGAUAUGUGUUGUCUCAAGAGUUUGCAAGGCUGAGAUGGUAGAGCUACAGUUGGAGAAACGGAUGAGAGCUGGGUACUGAGACAGUGGUGGUAUCUGAAAUUACAGAACUGAGAAAGAAAGUAAUGGAUGUUAUUGCAGCGAUGAUUCGCAGAAACUGGUGUUGUUGUUGGUAGAAUGCUAGAAGCUGCAGAAUGGUAUGAGCUGGAAUGGCGGGAUUAUAUAAAGUGCUGUGUAUUGGUGCCUGAACUGAGAAGAUGUCAUGGAUUUGGUGGUUAAUGUGACUGGAUGAGAAGUGGUGAUGCUGUUUAGAUGAAUGCCUAGGUUCAGGUGGUGGUUGAAUGAUGCAGGAGUGGACUGGAAAUGAUAUAUUGCAGUGUGGUGCUGUGGGUUUGGUUCAAAUGGAAUGUUGGUUGCUGUUUUGCAAUGUGUGCCGUGACUGUAUGCGAAGGCGAAGGUUUUCGAGAGAUUUUAGAAGAGCAAGAAGCAAGUGCCAAACUGUUAGCACUACUGCUGUGGCUUGAGGUUGUGGUAUAGAGAUGAUGGACCUGACAGAUGAAGGUGGUCUGAUGUUGUAUUGCAGUUAGUGGGUUGAGGUAGUGCAGGUUAUGUUGCUGAUGGUUCUGUGAUAGCUGUGACAGUUUGGUUGUUUCUGUGUUGAUAAAUGAAGCUGCAGAACGGACGUGGUGAUUGCAAUGGAUUGUAUGUGAAUUACAGGGAAGCAGAGUUGGUAUUGCGGUUGCCUGGAGGUGCUGUUGAAGGCUAGAAUAGGCUGUCAGUUCCAAAGAACUGAAGGCCAAAUAUCUAAGUAGGAAUUACUUCAAUUUUGGUUAUGCUAGAUACAAUAGGCCCUGAAUUGCAAGUUCUUAAUAAAAGUGAAAAAUCGAUUGCACUGAAGGCUGAAUCAUCGGUUGUUUUGACUCCGGAUCAAGAUAAAGAAGCAACUUCAGAUGUAUUGCCAAUCAAUUAUGAUGGAUUAGCAAAGGCAGUAAAGAAAGGAGACACCAUCUUUCUAGGUCAAUACCUGUUCACAGGAAGUGAAACUACAUCAGUUUGGCUUGAGAUAUAUACUUUACCUGGAAGCGGUGCAACAGAUAUGUACUCGAAUUGUAAGCAGCGGAUAUAUAUGUAUCAAACGACAUCAAAGUUGGUUGGGAGACAACCGGCCGUUGAUGAUGAGCAUAUGGAGUUGGUACUAUGGUGUUGAGCUGUUAAUAUUGAACUAAAGCCCCAACUGCUAUGGAAUUGCAUUAGCCAAUACAGUCUCCAUGAGUCGUGAAGAGUCGACCAAAGAUGAGAAAAAUGCUAUUGAAAAAUCGCCACAAUAAUAGGGAUUUUCCGGUGUAGAAUG